rnacentral:tRNA from 1 species
UCCACAGUAGCUCAGUUGGUAGAGCAAUCGGCUGUUAACCGAUCGGUCCCAGGUUCGCCUCAUCCCUCUGGAACCA